ensembl:lncRNA novel transcript, antisense to CAPN9
GGACUCGCUGUAUCCGAGCCCCGAGAUGAUGACGUGACCUUAGAAGAUGGCAGAGCCACACAAUAGAAGGCGUUUGGGUUCCUGAAUCACUGUAUGAACAGAGCCACCCACAGAAUAUGAACAUCCUCCCUGGACUGUCAUAAUGAGUGAGGAAAAAACUUUACUGUGUUUGAGCCUUUAUAUAUUUGGGGUCUAUUCACUACUGCAGCUAGUGUUACCUUGAGUCAUUGGUGCCUUGAAUUACAGAACUGCCACAACGAAAUUCUAAAAUAUGUUAGCAGUUGAGCAAGAGGGAUCAUGGAACUGUUCGAGCUGGAAAAUGGUUAUCUAUGUUAUGCAGUGGCAAAACAUUGGGUAAAUCUGUUGCAUGUUGUUAUGGACUGAAUGUUUGUGGUCUCCCCUAAAUUCAUAUGUUGAAUCCUAACCCUCGAAGUAGUAGUGUCAGGAGGUGGGGCCUUUGGGAGGUGACUAGGUUGUGAGGGUGGAGCCCUCAUGGAUGGGGUUAGUGCCAUUAUAAAAGAGGCCCCAGAGAGCUGCCUUGCCCUCUUUCUACCAUGUGAGGACAGAGUGAGAAGGAUCCAUCUAUAAAUCAGAAACAGGGCCCUCCACAGAUAUAGGUACUGCCUGUGUCAUCUUCUUGGACUUCCUGGUAUCUAGAACUGUGAGAAAUAAA